CCGGGAGGUGGGAUCUCCUUGAGCCCAUUUUGCAGAUAGGUAGACUGAGGCAAAGUCACUUGGUCUUCCCAGGACCACCCAGAGAGUCAGAGAUGGAGUCUGUGUCCCAUCGGUGUGACCCAAAUCCUGGACCCUUAACCACCAGCACCUCGGACCCCAUUUCAAGGUCCAGGACUGGCUCCAGCUUCUCCAGCACAGACAGCCCUCCAGCAGGACCCACAUCCACAUCACCCCCAGAUGGAGGCUUUCACCCCUACAUUGGCAACUGGGUGGUCCCAGGUUGCUGGACGUGAAUCUAGGCACUCCCUGAUUUGCGUAGAAGGGACAAAGAAGGAGGAAUGAUGGCUCUGGCACGUUAUGAUCUUGGAGUACUUGCUGUGUGCCAGGCCCAGCACCAAGAGCUCCUGAAGGAUCAUUUCAUGUCAUUCUCUCUAGCA